GACGAACGCUGGCGGCGUGCUUAACACAUGCAAGUCGAACGGAAAGGCCCUGCUUUUGUGGGGUGCUCGAGUGGCGAACGGGUGAGUAACACGUGAGUAACCUGCCCUUGACUUUGGGAUAACUUCAGGAAACUGGGGCUAAUACCGGAUAGGAGCUCCUGCUGCAUGGUGGGGGUUGGAAAGUUUCGGCGGUUGGGGAUGGACUCGCGGCUUAUCAGCUUGUUGGUGGGGUAGUGGCUUACCAAGGCUUUGACGGGUAGCCGGCCUGAGAGGGUGACCGGCCACAUGGGGCCGGGGAUACGGCCAGGACUCCUACGGGAGGCAGCAGUGGGGAAUAUUGCACAAUGGGCGGAAGCCGGAUGCAGCAACGCCGCGUGCGGGAUGACGGCCUUCGGGUUGUAAACCGCUUUCGCCUGUGACGAAGCGUGAGUGACGGUAAUGGGUAAAGAAGCACCGGCUAAUUACGU
rnacentral:rRNA from 1 species